rnacentral:rRNA from 1 species
AGUGGCGACCGGGUGAGUAACACGUGACUAACCUACCUUCUAGUGGGGGAUAACCUCGGGAAACCGAGGCUAAUACCGCAUAACAUCGCAAGAUCAAAGCAGCAAUGCGCUGGAAGAGGGGGUCGCGGCUGAUUAGCUAGUUGGCGGGGUAACGGCCCACCAAGGCGAAGUUCGGUAUCCGGCCUGAGAGGGCGCACGGACACACUGGAACUGAAACACGGUCCAGACUCCUACGGGAGGCAGCAGUGGGGAAUUUUGCGCAAUGGGGGAAACCCUGACGCAGCAACGCCGCGUGGAGGAUGAAGUCCCUUGGGACGUAAACUCCUUUCGACCAAGACGAUAAUGACGGUACUGGUGGAAGAAGCACCGGCUAACUCUGUGCCAGCAGCCGCGGUAAUACAGAGGGUGCAAGCGUUGUUCGGAAUUAUUGGGCGUAAAGGGCGCGUAGGCGGCGCGACAAGUCACCUGUGAAAUCCCCGGGCUUAACUCGGGGCCUGCAGGCGA